UUGAAUUUCUGUUAAUGUACAUUUCAGUUCUGUAAUUUCCACCUAGUUCUUUUGUUAUAACUUCCAUUUCUUUGAUGAGAUUUCUAUAUUUUGAUUGUUUCAAGAAGAUUUGUUACUGAUUGUUGAAGCUUUUUUAUAAUGUCUGCUUUAAAUCCUUUUUGGAUAACUCCAACAUGUGAUUCAUCUUGCUGAUAGCAUCAGUUUACGGUCCUCUCUCAUUCAGGUGUUACUUCUCUGUUUCUUGGUCCUACAGGUGAUUUUCCAUUGAUCCUGGCUGUUUUGGCUAAGUACUACUUAGAUCUUUAAUUUUAUCAGGCAGUCACCCUGCUUAGAUUUAGCAUGCAGGUCCUGGUCUACUUUUGUGGGGCGACGUUCCAAUGACAAUUUAAUGUCCAGAGGCUUUGCAGUGCUGUUUUAUCUGUUCAGUUUCUGUAUUUCUGUAGGGACCCCCAGGUCCCUGACAGUGCUGCCAGAAGGGGCAGAAGACUCCCCAGGCUAGCGCCAUCUGGUAGAUCUAAGUGGGAGAAGGGAAUCUGGCCCACAGGGACAAAGAUGCUUCUUAUGGUGGAUCCCCUUUGGGCCGUCAACUGGCCAUCCUAGUGUCCCCCAGAAGAGCGGAGUCUUGGGACCAGUGAGGAAGCAGGUCACUUCCCCUGAGCUUUUACUGUCAGUUGGGGCUGCCACACCACGCACCUUACCACUGUGGCGGCGCUAGCUUGAGGAUGUUCGCUUGUCUUGCAUUAAAUCCCACAGCAGCACACCCACUGGCGCCACCUUCUGUUGCCAGAUUCAGAGUUGGAAGACACCGGCCUGGAUCACCUGUUUCUGUUCCGCUGUUGUGUUGCUCUUCCAGGCCCGGGGUCCCUACCCUGUUGGCCUUCUUCUUUCCCACUUGCAGAGUUCUUCUUUGACUCUUGUUUUUUUUCCAGGGGUUACAGUUAUACUUCAGAUAGAGAGGCAGGGAGAAACAAGUCCAAGCCGUCCCGUCUGCACCCAGAGUCUCCUCUUAAUGUUACUAGAUUGGCUGGCUGUGGGCCUCUGUCAUACACAGCUGACUAAAACAGAUGUCCUAUUCAACUUUUCAUUUUUGUGACCCUUGUAUCUCACCAAUCAAGUGUGAACAUCUUCCAAUGUCAAUGAGCAUAUACUUGAAUCCUAGUAAGUGGCAUUAUGUUAUUUCAUUGUGUAGCUAUAGCAUAAAGUCAACCAGUCUUCUAUAACUGAACUUUGAAGUGUAAAAAGAUUUGUAGCCUCCCCAUAUCUUUUUUAAAAAAUGUUUGUUUAUUUUGAGAGAGAUUGUGUGUACAUGUACUUGUGUGCGAGCAGGGGAGGGGCAGAAAGAGGGGGAGAGAGAGAAUCCUAAGCAGGCUCCGCACUGUCAGCACAGAGCCUGACUUGGGGCUCAAUCCCAUGAACCGUGAGAUCAUGACCUGACCCAAGAUCAAGAGUCAGACAUCUAACCGACUGAACCACCCAGGUGCUCCAAGCCUCCCUGUAUUUCUAUCUUUUUAUUUAUUUUUUUUUAAUUGAAAUCUUAAACCUGCUUUUGAGGAGCAGUCAAAUCCUGAAAAUCAGUGUGAGGGAAGUAAGACCUGAAAAGGGAAAGACUUAGAAUUAAAUGGCUCAAAAUGGUGUUUCUAUUUCCUGGGUGCUAACAUGUACCCACACAUGGAACAGAAUUCAGAACUCCGUGAAGAGCUGGUAUCCCGAGAGUCGAUGUCACAUGCCUGUGGCAUAGGACAUGGGGCUGGACAGUGGCUGCGCUUCUAAAUUGGCCUUCAUCCAGAUCUGGACAGGUUAAUUGUCGUGUGUGUGAGAUGCUUGACCUCAAGAUUAUCAUCGCCCUUGGUGGCGGCUUACUGAUUGUCACAUUUGUGCUGAUGGCUGUUGUCAUCUGUCUUUACUACAAAGUAGCCAACGCAUUGAAAUGUUCAAAGGCAUAUUUGGCUCUGACCAUCAAUGAUAAUGAGGCCACAGUCACGAUGACCACAGACUCCACCAAUGGGUCCUAUCCCAGCAUCCAGUGUUGUGAAGAAUGUAACUUGAAUGCCAACUCGAACCCCCUGCCACCGUGAUUCUGUGACGUAACCAAAAGCCCUGGACUUGGCACAAAAAUCUUCAUUCGUAGUAUUUCUUUCUUGGUAGAAUCCAUUAUUCAAGUCAGGUUCAAAUCAUGUUUAUAUCAUGUUAGGUACCACAUAUUUAUGUACUUUUGGAUAAAUAUGCAAGAGGAAAAUAA